rnacentral:rRNA from 1 species
AACGAACGCUGGCGGCAUGCCUAACGCAUGCAAGUCGAACGAGACCUUCGGGUCUAGUGGCGCACGGGUGCGUAACGCGUGGGAACCUGCCCUUAGGUUCGGAAUAACUCCCCGAAAGGGGUGCUAAUACCGGAUAAUGUCUUCGGACCAAAGAUUUAUCGCCUUUGGAUGGGCCCGCGUUGGAUUAGCGAGUUGGUAGGGUAAAAGCCUACCAAGGCGAGGAUCCAUAGCUGGUGGGAGAGGAUGCUCAGCCACACUGGGACUGGGCCACGGCCCAGACCCGAGGGGGAGGGGGGGGGGGGUGAAUAUGGGGAGGGGGCCAAAGGCUGCAACGCCGAGUCCGGGGGGGUGGCGAACGCGUUGGGGUUGUAAUUCUCUUUUGCCGGGGAUGAAAAUACGGUAACGGGUAAAAAAGCACCGGGUAACCACGUG